rnacentral:rRNA from 1 species
GACGAACGCUGGCGGCGUGCCUAAUACAUGCAAGUCGAGCGAAACACUAGGAGCUUGCUCCUGGUGGUUAGCGGCGGACGGGUGAGUAACACGUGGGCAACCUGCCUGUAAGACUGGGAUAACACCGGGAACCCGGUGCUAAUACCGGAUAAUCCUUUUCCUCUCAUGAGGAAAAGCUGAAAGUCGGUUUCGGCUGACGCUUACCGAUGGGCCCGAGGUGCAUUAGCUAGUUGGUGAGGUAACGGCUCACCAAGGCGACGAUGCGUAGCCGACCUGAGAGGGUGAUCGGCCACACUGGGACUGAGACACGGCCCAGACUCCUACGGGAGGCAGCAGUAGGGAAUCUUCCACAAUGGACGAAAGUCUGAUGGAGCAACGCCGCGUGAGCGAUGAAGGCCUUCGGGUCGUAAAGCUCUGUUGUUAGGGAAGAACAAGUACCGGAGUAACUGCCGGUACCUUGACGGUACCUAACCAGAAAGCCACGGCUAACUAUGUGCCAGCCGCCGCCGUAACAC